rnacentral:rRNA from 1 species
GUGCCAGCAGCCGCGGUAAUACGUAGGUGGCAAGCGUUGUCCGGAUUUACUGGGCGUAAAGGGUGCGUAGGCGGAUGCUUAAGUGAGAUGUGAAAUACCUAAGCUUAACUUAGGGGCUGCAUUUCAAACUGGGCAUCUAGAGUACAGGAGAGGGAAACGGAAUUCCUAGUGUAGCGGUGAAAUGCGUAGAGAUUAGGAAGAACACCAGUGGCGAAGGCGGUUUCCUGGACUGUAACUGACGCUGAGGCACGAAAGCGUGGGUAGCAAACAGGAUUAGAUACCCUGGUAGUCC